ACUUAAUUUUCCAUUAUUUCCAGAUCAUGACAAGGAACACACAACGGGGAUGACCGGUCGGCAGGGGAUGCUCCUGAUCCUUUCUCUGAUGUUGCGGAGGUCCAUAUUUGCUCAGUUCUUCUUUUUUUUGUACUGUUUUAUGGACGUUUGAGCUUGAAUACUGUUUGUUUAUUGUCUUUGUAUGUUUCAUUGCCAUAGUUAAUGAAAAUAGAAUACUGUCAACUUUAAAAACCUCAUAAAAGCUUAUCAAAAUCAUCAGAAUAGGAUUGAUUGAUUGAUUGUAUAUUCGUUUACGUCCCAUUCGAAAACAUAUCUCAUAUAAAGACGUCACCAUGUGAAGGUGAAGCUUAAAAUUUUGAGCAUUACUCGGCAUGUAGGGCAGUUGAGCAGUGUGGUGUGGGAUCUGUUUUGUAGCAACACCCGCCUUGGUAUAGGGUCUUGGUGUUUAGGGCCUUAUCUCAUCAGUAAUAGAAAUGACAUGGAACCAGUCUUGAACUUUUUGGCUUAAAAUUAUGUAUAUUUUAAUUAUUUUUAUAUUCACCUUGAAGCUGUAUCUUUUUUUCAAAUGCCAAAAAAAAACCGGUACGGAAAUGCUUUGUCAAAAAAUGAAAUUAAUAUCUGUAAAAACAGGUAUUAAAAAUGUUUUUAAUGUCAUUUGAAAAUAAAGAACAAUAUUUACACUCAAAAAAGUCGAAUCAAACAAUAUAAAUCUUUAUUAGAGCAAACAAGGACAGCUAACAGCAUCAUAGGUUGGGUCUAGUGCAGUUGAGGAGUAGGUAAAUCAUGUCUACAGGUACUGCUUGUCGUGAUGGGAUAAAGAAAAAAGUCGUAAAUAAGCCAGGUUGUAAAUAAUGGCUUAACAAUUCAUAUGUAAACCAUCACUCAGCAUUCAGCUAAAUGAUACGUCGUGUUGCCUGACAAGGACAUUGUAUCAACGGCCAGAAUUCAAUGUUGUUUAUCGGUACAAAAAAAAUAUUAAGUUCUUUAAAAUAAAUAAUUACAAAUUUCCUUUGGAAGGAAAUUAUCAACCAAUUAUAUCCGUCAAAAACCAUACAGUAACAUUUUUUGAAUGGUUGAGCGUUUACAUAUUCAAAGUUAUAGAAAAUAAAUUCAUUUGUUUAAGCGUUAAAUCAAAAUUUUCCAACAUAAAUAACUAAAUCUUUGUUGAAAUAUUCUAAGGGAGUUUUCGUAAAUUGAAAUAUAUGAAAAAAGAACUCUUAGCCAAAAAUAAGGAUCCAAUCCAUCUACGGUCAGCCCACCAACGACUUGCUCUGAGGAUCCUUGCAUAGAAGGCAACCUGCAAACAUUGACACAGAAUAAAUAUCGCUCCAUUAAUUGUGAAUACAAACAAGGGCAGGGGUAUCGUGAUGAACACCUGACAGCUGGGUGGUAUAAAUCUAGUUCCCCCAUGCUAAACCGGUGCCCAAAACUAUUAAGGUAAAGCUCAAUAUACCCUGUAUGGAUGACUGGCAGGAAGUCAUCCUACUAGAGGAGAUGGUAUUGUUACAAGACAGGCCUGCCAGAGAGGGUUCCACAGCUGUUGUUCUAAGUCCUAUGACAUCAAAUUAAAGAACUGUGGCAAAUACACAGCCUACUGUCCACAGGGAGUGGAUACUUGUCCCUCGUGGUGAUGAACCAUGAGAAUGAUAAAGUUGAUGAAAGAAAAUCAGAUGCAUAUGGAAUAGUAAAACAGGCUCUACUGUCGCUAUCCACUGGACAGAAACCAAAACACAGAGGAUAAAUAACCUUGCUUAUACGACAGAAGAUCUUCCACCAUACAAGCCUUGAUAUCCUUACAUCUAAAUAUGAAUUCAGAUAUCAUGUUUCUUUUGACAUUGAUUGUUGUAAAAUACAUUCAUACUAACAUUCAUACUAAUGUUAAUUAUUAAUUUGGUCAUCUUAACAGUCAUCAACAGUCACAGAAAAAAAAAUAUUGUUGGAAUGCAUAUGGCUUUAAUCUUUUUUGUCAUUCUAAAGAACUCAGGCUUUUGUAAAAUAUUAAACAACUGAAGGAUAUAGCUAUAACUGGUUGAUUCAUGUAUUUAAAAGAUAUUUUCGAAGAUUGUUAUGUAAAAUUUGCUUACAUUUUGAGAUAUUAGUUCAUAAUAAACAAUGAAUUAGAUUUUUAAAAAUAAAAAUAAGCACCAUGUUUAUCUGAGGACAAACACUUUUGAAAUGAAGAAUAAGUUGCGCCAAAUCUUGGUUAUAAGGACAGAACUCAAGUAAAAAAAAUGUAAUAAAAGGAGACGAAUCUUUUAUCACACAAGAUAAUAGACUAUCCAGUAAAAUUAUGUUUUUCCUGCUGUCCUUGUUUAGAUCUUAUAUUUUAAAAAAAUCCAGAACUUUGUCUCCUUUGUAUAUGUUUCUUACACAAUAUUUACUUUGCCGUCAAAAUUUUAGUUGAUUUUAUCCUAUUAAAAA